rnacentral:rRNA from 1 species
GGCGAACGCUGGCGGCGUGCUUAACACAUGCAAGUCGAACGGAAAGGCCCUGCUUUUGUGGGGUGCUCGAGUGGCGAACGGGUGAGUAACACGUGAGUAACCUGCCCUUGACUUUGGGAUAACUUCAGGAAACUGGGGCUAAUACCGGAUAGGAGCUCCUGCUGCAUGGUGGGGGUUGGAAAGUUUCGGCGGUUGGGGAUGGACUCGCGGCUUAUCAGCUUGUUGGUGGGGUAGUGGCUUACCAAGGCUUUGACGGGUAGCCGGCCUGAGAGGGUGACCGGCCACAUUGGGACUGAGAUACGGCCCAGACUCCUACGGGAGGCAGCAGUGGGGAAUAUUGCACAAUGGGCGGAAGCCUGAUGCAGCAACGCCGCGUGCGGGAUGACGGCCUUCGGGUUGUAAACCGCUUUCGCCUGUGACGAAGCGUGAGUGACGGUAAUGGGUAAAGAAGCACCGGCUAACUACGUGCCAGCAGCCGCGGUGAUACGUAGGGUGCGAGCGUUGUCCGGAUUUAUUGGGCGUAAAGGGCUCGUAGGUGGUUGAUCGCGUCGGAAGUGUAAUCUUGGGGCUUAACCCUGAGCGUGCUUUCGAUACGGGUUGACUUGAGGAAGGUAGGGGAGAAUGGAAUUCCUGGUGGAGCGGUGGAAUGCGCAGAUAUCAGGAGGAACACCAGUGGCGAAGGCGGUUCUCUGGGCCUUUCCUGACGCUGAGGAGCGAAAGCGUGGGGAGCGAACAGGCUUAGAUACCCUGGUAGUCCACGCUGUAAACGGUGGGUACUAGGUGUGGGGUCCAUUCCACGGGUUCCGUGCCGUAGCUAACGCUUUAAGUACCCCGCCUGGGGAGUACGGCCGCAAGGCUAAAACUCAAAGGAAUUGACGGGGCCCCGCACAAGCGGCGGAGCAUGCGGAUUAAUUCGAUGCAACGCGUAGAACCUUACCUGGGUUUGACAUGGAUCGGGAGCGCUCAGAGAUGGGUGUGCCUCUUUUGGGGUCGGUUCACAGGUGGUGCAUGGCUGUCGUCAGCUCGUGUCGUGAGAUGUUGGGUUAAGUCCCGCAACGAGCGCAACCCUUGUUCACUGUUGCCAGCACGUUAUGGUGGGGACUCAGUGGAGACCGCCGGGGUCAACUCGGAGGAAGGUGGGGAUGACGUCAAGUCAUCAUGCCCCUUAUGUCCAGGGCUUCACGCAUGCUACAAUGGCUGGUACAGAGAGUGGCGAGCCUGUGAGGGUGAGCGAAUCUCGGAAAGCCGGUCUCAGUUCGGAUUGGGGUCUGCAACUCGACCUCAUGAAGUCGGAGUCGCUAGUAAUCGCAGAUCAGCAACGCUGCGGUGAAUACGUUCCCGGGGCU